rnacentral:misc_RNA from 1 species
GAUGAAGACGUAGCGAAAUGCGAUACUUGGUGUGAAUUGCAGAAUCCCGUGAACCAUCGAGUCUUUGAACGCAAGUUGCGCCCGAAGCCAUUAGGCCGAGGGCACGCCUGCCUGGGCGUCACACGUCGUUGCCCCCCCAUCUACUCCUUCGGGAUUGCGGGGGGCGGAUGAUGGCCUCCCGUGCGCCUCGCCGCGCGGUUGGCAUAAAUGCCAAGUCCUCGGCGACGCACGCCACGACAAUCGGUGGUUGCGAAACCUCGGUUGCCCGUCGUGUGCGGUCGUCGCGCAUCGAGGGCUCGAAAAAAUUGCCGGGUUCCGGCUCGGCUUUCAACGCGACCCCAGGUCAGGCGGGGUUACCCGCUGAAUUUAAGCAUAUCAAUAAGCGGAGG